rnacentral:rRNA from 1 species
CCCCACCCCACCCCCCGCAGCCGCCUCUCGCCCUCUCCCCAUCCCCCCGCAGGCGCAGCCGCAGCCGCAUCUUCCCAUCCCCCGAUCCAUCCAUCCCAGAUCGACAACCAUCGGCGGCGGCUGGCACCGGCCGGCCUCUCAUCCGGCGGCCCCUUCCCGUGGCUCGUCGCCCUCUCCUGCCCCUCGCGGCCUCGCCUCCUCGCGACCCCGCCUCUUCCUGUUCACCUCCUCACGAGUCUGCCACGGUGACGAUGGCGAGCGACGGCCAGGCAAGAAGCUAACCGCGAGUCCGCGACGGUGAUAGUGGCGGCGACGACGAAGACCGGCGACCUGCCUCCUCCUCCUCCACCUCAAGCGCAAGCAGCUGACCAGCAGGUUGUUUGUUUCAUCUCUUGCUGUUCAGAAGGGUGGCUUGAUGUUUCUGUAGUAACUAGGAGUAGCAGUAGCUUGAUGUUCAGAAGGGUGGUUGUGGAUCUCUCUGCAUUUUAGUUUCAGAAGCUUAUUAUGUAUGCAUGCCUUAUUAUUAUGUGAGGCUUGGCUGGUGGUUGUGAUCUGGAUAUUGCAUUUGUACUCAUUCUAGCUAUUCCUUGGGUCACUUUGUAAAUUCAGUAUUGACUUGUGCGAGUUUGCCAGCAACUUCCGCUUAGUAUAAGGUCACAGAUUGCACUAUAUUGAACAAGUCAGACCUUUCACCUUCAGUGUUUGCUGGUGUUUGAUGUCCGCUAUGUGUAUAUAAAUAAUCGAACAUGUUGGUUAUGGUAUCGAUGUAUGCAACAGCAAGACACGA